rnacentral:misc_RNA from 1 species
GGAAAGUGGAAACCUCUUGAUAAGCACUAGCAACAGCUCCAAGAUCUAGAAAAACGAGUAGAAUCACCAUAGCAGCAGCUAGUGAACCCAUUCUCAUCAGCUAGCUUACGUGCCUGAAUCUUGAAAUUGACAGAAAUAUCUGUACUUCCUCACCAAUGAAGCAUUGCUUUUCCAACCACCAGUCUCUGAAUGGUUAAUUAGCACCUUGUAGUUAACCAGACGAGGUAACAGUUAGUGGAAGCUACAAGCUGAACAACUAACUCACUAA